CGCGUAGGCGGAUAACACAGUCAGAUGUGAAAUUCCUGGGCUUAACCUAGGGACUGCAUUUGAUACGUGUAAUCUAGAGUGAGGAAGAGGGUCGUGGAAUUCCCAGUGUAGAGGUGAAAUUCGUAGAUAUUGGGAAGAACACCGGUGGCGAAGGCGGCGACCUGGUCCUUUACUGACGCUGAGGCGCGAAAGCGUGGGGAAGCAAACA
rnacentral:rRNA from 1 species